rnacentral:lncRNA from 13 species
AUAAAGACAUUUGACACUGCUGUUCAAUAGUAAUGACACGGGAGCGGGUUGAAUUUCGAGGCCCGUUGCCAUAGCACAACCCCCCAUAACACCGCAGUGAUGGCCAGGAACGUUUUUUUAAAGUGAGAGGAGUCUGAAGUUAUCUUCUCUGCCAACGAUACUCACGGGCAGUUUCAUCCCCAUGGACAAGACCAACGUUUUUCUUUUACGCGCCAUGUGCUUGUUUUCUAAUUGAUUUCUGAGGAAUACUACUUGGAAACGGUUAUGGGCACCUCGAUUGAACUAACAUUAUAUUUUUUAUAACUGAGUUACUCCACGCACAUGUUUAGGAAGAUCAACAACGCACUCCGUCCCAACAAUGGGCACAGGGCUCGUGAUGGCAGUCCGCGGUCCGAGCAGGACUACCACAGCGCGUGCACCGUCAAGUUGGUGCGGAGCACCUCCAUGCUCGUGGUGGGCCAGAGGAAUCAGUCAUCCGUCAACUCCACACUGAAGCGGAGCAAAAGUUCUGUAAAUGUCGAGUCCACCACCGCCUUGUAUUAUUAUCAGAGGCAGGAGGACCGGAUAUGGCUCUACUCCCAAAAUCAGAACUGCCUGGAGUAUUUGGAAGAGCUGGUGGCGUUGAGACGGCAGUACACGAGGAGCGUCAACAACUUCAAAAGCAACGAGAUGAAGGCCACAAUCUCCCCCAAGAAGAAGCCUGCGCCACCCCCGCCCAACUCCAAGGACGCACAGAGCAUGAGGACCAAACCGUCUGCCCCUCCAAUCCCCAAUGAGGAGGACACUCUGGACUUCUUUGAUGCUGUCAUCGCGAGCUGUGACCCUGAGCACACGCGCAAGCCCCAUGUAGACGAUGGGCACGCUGACGUUGACUUCAUUGUGGCCACCAGCACCAGUGAGCACGACCUCCACUCCAACUGGGUCAUGAGGGUCCCACGGUGUCCCACAGAUGAGUCCAAGCUGAAGAAGCCGGCCUCAACCAGCAAAAGCAGCAGCACGGCCAAGAAGAACAGCGACAACGGGACGACGAGCAGCCGACGACACCUACAGAGAAACCCCAUCCACCUGCCCAAAGUGGUGGAGAGCGCUUUCCAGACACUGCGCUUCAAGCCGAAACUCAAAAAGAAGUAGUACGAACUUGCUGAGUUUCAUAACAAGUACGGGAGUCAACUUGGGGAGGUCCCGCGACAUGCAAGCAUUCAGCUGGUGAGGAAUUGGCAGGGAAACCACAAAAUAACCAUGGAUAGUAAUAUAGGAAGUGAGAGAGAGAAGUAGGCCUAGAGGAAGUGGGAACUGAGAGAAAGUGGCAGCCAAUGAUUAUGGUAUUAUGUUGGUGUGGACAGGCUUAGCAUGUGCCAUUGUUCGCUAUGCCACCAGCCUGAUAAAUUAUCCAGUCUGCUGUGGAUCCUGGGACUGAUGGGGCGGUAACCCGAUCCACAAAGGGCCGUGCGUAACUUGGACAGUGUAAUUACCAACAAACACUCUCAUUACUUAGUUACUGUGACUAAACAAACCACCUACUCCACCUGACAUCACAAUCAACAAUGCAACUGUCCAAGUAUUUUUAUUACACAUUUAGACUAGGCUUAUUAUAUCCAGGUUUACCUGUCGCAUCAGUCUCCCUAGACUCCAUGAUCAACAUCACUGUAUGAAAUGUAAGAUGUUCACCAUGUGCCUCAGAUUGAAUAAUUUAAAUUAUUCUUAAACAUUAACCAAGGUACUGCAAAUGGCACUGCUUAUUUCGUUUUAUACUGUAGUGGGCUACCAUUGUACUGUAACAAUAUGAUUUAUCCUGUUAAGUCUAUAUUAUUUAUGUACAUUAAAAUGGGUCACCAAGGCACUUUUUCCAUGACUUGUGGACCCUUGGUGUGUUUGUUGAAAAGGUUGUACUUUAUUACAGGAGACGACAGGCUGAACUCAUGCUGGUUAUCGACACAAUAAUAUGAGAGCACAGAAGGGAUUUUUUAUUUACCUAGGCAAGUAAAGUUAAGUCUUAUUUACAAUGACGACCUACCAGGGGGCAAAACGACAUAUUUUAACCUUGUCAGCUCGAGGAUUCAAUCCAGCAACCUUUCGGUUACUGGCCCAAAGCUCUAACCUCUAGGCUACCUGGAAGCAGUUUAAACAUCAUUUACUUUAUAUACUCCCCCCAAACCUUGAAGUAAUAGCUAUUCAUGUUCUUGUUUUUUAUCCUCUUAUUCUCACAACUAGUGUGAAUCAACCCAGUUUCUCAAGGCAAGUUCAAAUCACCUUGCUACAGAUCUGUUUCUCUCAAAAAUACAAUUUUAUUUUCUUUAUUACUAAAGGCACAAAUGUGCGCACAAACACACACACAAGGUACACUGAGUGUAAAUAACAUUAGGAACACCUUCCUAAUAUUGAGUUGACACCCCCCUUUUCCCUCAGAACUGCUUAAAUUCGUCGGGGCAUGAACUCCACAAGGUGUCGAAAGCAUUUCACAGGAAUGCUGGCCCAUGUUGACUCCAACGCUUCCCACAGUUGUGUCAAGUUGGCUGGCUGUCCUUUGGGUGGUGGACCAUUCUUGACACACACAGGAAACUGUUGAGCAUGAAAAACCCAGCAGCGUUGCAGUUCUUGACACACUCAAACCAGUGUGCCUGGCACUUACUACCAUACUCCAUUGAAAGGCACUUCAAUAGUUUGUCUUGCACAUUCACCCUCUGAAUGGCACAUAUAGACAAUGCAUGUCUCAAUGGUCACAAGGCUUAAAAAUCCUUCUUUAACCUGUCUCCUCCCCUUUAUUUACACUGAUUGAAGUGGAUUUAACAAUCAAUAAUAAACAUCAAUAAGGGAUCAUAGCUUUCACCUGGUCAGUCUAUGUCAUGGAAAGAGCAGGUGUUCCUAAUGUUUUGUACACUCAGUGUAUCCACGCACACCAACAUACACAUACAAAUUCUGAUGCACCAUCCUAACAAUCAGUUUCUCUGCUUUGCCCUUGGGGCUGAAGAAGGCAGACAUGCUUUUCAUGCCUGUUUUGUCCACCUUGGCCAGGAUCUUCUGUGCCGCACUCAUCUUCUAGGGCGGCUGGAGGAGGAGAAAAGAUGUAUUCAAUAGUAUUGCUCAUCGGCCUUGAGUGAAGACGGCUGAAACGUAAUUACACAUCAUCAUGACUCUUUUCCAGACAGAAUAUACAAUGUUACUUGGACCUUCGUCUGGAUUUGAAGGCCUCUGCAUUGCAUUGCUUUAAACUGCACUCACGUGAACUUCAGGAAGGUUCCUCCCCCAUAUAUAUAUAUAUAAUUCUCUCAUGGGUCCAUUCAUGCAGGCUGCACCUAAUCUCCCUCACUUUGCGGGCGAAAUCGGAGCUGUUGAAUUUGGUGUAGUCCUCUCCCGCCUCCACUGAUUUGUCAGACAGCUUUCACUUCUGCCGAAUGAGGAUGGGAUGUAUAGAGUGAGACCUGCUUUCCAUCACUCUAAACACCAACCACCAAUCACACCACAGACACACGUUUGUUUACAAGUUACCGUGGCAAUACCGUGAGUAUCACCAACUGACCAACCACAUCCACCAACAAUAGGCAUAAGAACACACUAAUCUACCUGUACACUGCUACCAUCUGGUGAAUCUCAAGAGAAGAUCACAGUGAAAAAGCCAGACCCUACAAUAGUUUAUAUGUAAAAUAAAAGAUUUAUCCCGCUUUGGUUCCUAAUACAUGCAGAAAAGGAACAAUGUCCCCAAAUAAAUAGAAAACUAGGAAAAAAUAUGUCAGUAUAUACAGUAGGCCUAACUACACAGUGUGAUGACACAAGUAGCCUACACAGAGAAGCUGAAUAAAAUACCUUUGAAUGAUGCUCCACUUUCUUAGUGCUUGAGAGCUCAGGUAACCUGUCAGGAGGAAGGUGAAAGGUGACUGACCAUCAGACUGUUAAACACUAAUAAUGCUGCUUAAUGCAUUGCCUUCAGAAGUAUCAAUGUCUUAAUAGCACAAUGUCACUUUCAUCACCAGUACAUUUCCAGUCAAAAGUGCUGACCU